rnacentral:piRNA from 1 species
UAGAAAAUGUUAACAGAUUGGCCCAAGC